rnacentral:rRNA from 1 species
GACGAACGCUGGCGGCGUGCUUAACACAUGCAAGUCGAACGGAAAGGCCCUGCUUUUGUGGGGUGCUCGAGUGGCGAACGGGUGAGUAACACGUGAGUAACCUGCCCUUGACUUUGGGAUAACUUCAGGAAACUGGGGCUAAUACCGGAUAGGAGCUCCUGCUGCAUGGUGGGGGUUGGAAAGUUUCGGCGGUUGGGGAUGGACUCGCGGCUUAUCAGCUUGUUGGUGGGGUAGUGGCUUACCAAGGCUUUGACGGGUAGCCGGCCUGAGCGGGUGACCGGCUACAUUGGGACUGAGAUACGGCCCGCACUCCUACGGGAGGAAGCAGUGGCGAAUAUUGCACAAUGGGCGGAAGCCUGAUGCAGCAACGCCGCGUGCUGGUUGACGGCCUUCGGGUUGUAAACCGCAUUCGCCUGUGACGAAGCGUGAGUGACGGUAAUGGGUAUAGAAGCACCGGCUAACUACGUG